rnacentral:misc_RNA from 1 species
UUAAGUUCAGCGGGUAUUCCUACCUGAUCCGAGGUCAACCUUUGGUUAAAGGUGGGUCUUUAACGGCAGGAGCACCGCCGCAACGUCCAUAGCGAGAAAACGAAUUACUACGCUCGGAGUUGUAGCGAGCCCGCCACUUCCUUUCAGGGCCUACGGCAGCCGUAGGGCCCCAACACAAGCCGGGGGCUUGAUGGUCGAAA